CUCCGGUUGAUCCUGCCGGACCUGACUGCUAUCGGAUUGGUACUAAGCCAUGCGAGUCGUUGUAGCAAUACAAGGCGGACGGCUCAGUAACACGUAGUCAACCUAACCUAUGGACGUGGAUAACCUCGGGAAACUGAGAAUAAACCGCGAUAGAUCAUUAUGCCUGGAAUGGCUUAUGGUUCAAACAAUUUAUUGCCGUAGGAUGGGACUGCGGCCUAUCAGCUUGUUGGUGAGGUAAUGGCCCACCAAGGCUAUAACAGGUACGGGCUCUGAGAGGAGAAGCCCGGAGAUGGGUACUGAGACACGGACCCAGGCCCUAUGGGGCGCAGCAGGCGAGAAACCUUAGCAAUGUGCGAAAGCACGACUGGGUCAGUCCGAGUGAUUCCUGAUAAAGGAGUCUUUUAUCUGUCCUAAAAGCACAGGUGAAUAAGGGGUGGGCAAGUCUGGUGUCAGCCGCCGCGGUAAUACCAGCACCUCGAGUGGUCAGGACGUUUAUUGGGCCUAAAGCAUCCGUAGCCGGCUCUGCAAGUCUUCGGUUAAAUCCACCUGCUCAACAGAUGGGCUGCUGGAGAUACUACAAAGCUAGGGAGUGGGAGAGGCAGACGGUAUUCAGUGGGUAGGGGUAAAAUCCUCUGAUCCAUCGAGGACCACCAGUGGCGAAGGCGGUCUGCCAGAACACGUUCGACGGUGAGGGAUGAAAGCUGGGGGAGCAAACCGGAUUAGAUACCCGGGUAGUCCCAGCUGUAAACGAUGCAAACUCGGUGAUGCAUUGGCUUAUGGCCAAUGCAGUGCCGCAGGGAAGCCGUUAAGUUUGCCGCCUGGGAAGUACGGACGCAAGUCUGAAACUUAAAGGAAUUGGCGGGGGAGCA
rnacentral:rRNA from 1 species